CAACUCGCCUACAUGAAGUCGGAAUUGCUAGUAAUCGCGGAUCAGCAUGCCGCGGUGAAUACGUUCCCGGGCCUUGUACACACCGCCCGUCACACCAUGGGAGUCGGUAACACCCGAAGCCUGUAGUCUAACCGCAAGGAGGACGCAGUCGAAGGUGGGAUUGAUGACUGGGGUGAAGUCGUAACAAGGUAUC
rnacentral:rRNA from 1 species